rnacentral:rRNA from 1 species
GAUGAACGCUAGCGGCAGGCUUAACACAUGCAAGUCGAGGGGUAUGCCGAUUUAUCGGCAGAGACCGGCGCACGGGUGCGUAACGCGUAUGCAAUCUACCUUUCACAGAGGGAUAGCCCAGAGAAAUUUGGAUUAAUACCUCAUAGUAUAGCAGUUUCGCAUGAAACCACUAUUAAAGUUCCAACGGUGAAAGAUGAGCAUGCGUCCCAUUAGCUAGAUGGUAAGGUAACGGCUUACCAUGGCUACGAUGGGUAGGGGUCCUGAGAGGGAGAUCCCCCACACUGGUACUGAGACACGGACCAGACUCCUACGGGAGGCAGCAGUGAGGAAUAUUGGUCAAUGGACGCAAGUCUGAACCAGCCAUGCCGCGUGCAGGAUGACGGUCCUAUGGAUUGUAAACUGCUUUUGUACGAGAAGAAACAACAUUACGUGUAAUGUCUUGACGGUAUCGUAAGAAUAAGGAUCGGCUAACUCCGUGCCAG